rnacentral:rRNA from 1 species
UACGGAGGGAGCGAACGUUGUUCGGAUUUACUGGGCGUAAAGGGUGUGUAGGCGGUCUUGUAAGUCAGGGGUGAAAUCUCUCGGCUCAACCGAGAAACUGCCUUUGAGACUGCAGGACUUGAGGGCGUGAGAGGAGACUGGAAUUCCUAGUGUAGCGGUGAAAUGCAUAGAUAUUAGGAGGAACACCAGUGGCGAAGGCGAGUCUCUGGCACGCAUCUGACGCUGAAACACGAAAGCCAGGGGAGCGAAC